rnacentral:rRNA from 1 species
CCUACGGGAGGCAGCAGUGAGGAAUAUUGGUCAAUGGCCGUAAGGCUGAACCAGCCAAGUAGCGUGAGGGAAGACUGCCCUAUGGGUUGUAAACCUCUUUUAUGCGGGGAAAAAGGUGUCCAUGUGUGGAUGUUUGCAGGUACCGCAUGAAUAAGGAACGGCUAAUUCCGUGCCAGCAGCCGCGGUAAUACGGAAGGUCCGGGCGUUAUCCGGAUUUAUUGGGUCUAAAGGGAGCGUAGGCGGGUCGUUAAGCGUGCCGUGAAAUUUUGUGGCUCAACCAUGAGAGUGCGGCGCGAACUGGAGACCUGGAGUGCGCGGAAGGCAGGCGGAAUUCGUGGUGUAGCGGUGAAAUGCUUAGAUAUCACGAAGAACCCCGAUUGCGAAGGCAGCCUGCCGCAGCGUUACUGACGCUGAAGCUCGAAAGCGCGGGUAUCGAACAGGAUUAGAUACCCCAGUAGUC